rnacentral:rRNA from 1 species
CCUACGGGUGGCAGCAGUGAGGAAUAUUGGUCCAUGGGCGCGAGCCUGAACCAGCCAAGUAGCGUGAAGGAUGACUGCCCUACGGGUUGUAAACUUCUUUUAUAAAGGAAUCAAGUGAGGCCGGUGUGCCUUUUUGUAUGUACUUUAUGAAUAAGGAUCGGCUAACUCCGUGCCAGCAGCCGCGGUAAUACGGAGGAUCCGCGCGUUAUCCGGAUUUAUUGGGUUUAAAGGGUGCGUAGGUGGGUGGUUAAGUCAGUUGUGAAAGUUUGCGGCUCAACCGUAAAAUUGCAAUUGAUACUGGCAGUCGUGAGUACAGUAGAGGUAGGCGGAAUUCGUGGUGUAGCGGUGAAAUGCUUAGAUAUCACGAAGAACUCCGAUUGUGAAGGCAGCUUACUAAACUGCCACUGACAUUGAUGCUCGAAAGUGUGGGUAUCAAACAGGAUUAGAUACCCCUGUAGUC